rnacentral:rRNA from 1 species
ACGGGGCCCGCACAAGCAGCGGAGCGUGUGGUUUAAUUCGAUGCAACGCGAAGAACCUUACCAGGGCUUGACAUGCUUGAAGUAGAAACUCGAAAGAGGGACGACCUGUAUCCAAUCAGGAGCUUGCACAGGUGCUGCAUGGCUGUCGUCAGCUCGUGCCGUGAGGUGUUAGGUUAAGUCCUGCAACGAGCGCAACCCUCGUCGCUAGUUAAUUUUUCUAGCGAUACUGCCCGUAUAACGCGGAGGAAGGUGGGGAUGACGUCAAGUCAGCAUGGCCCUUACGUCCUGGGCUACACACACGCUACAAUGGGUGAUACAAAAGGUUGCAAUAGAGUGAUCUGGAGCUAAUCCUGAAAAUCAUCCUCAGUUCGGAUUGUAGGCUGAAACUGCCUGCAUGAAGUUGGAGUUGCUAGUAACCGCAGGUCAGCACACUGCGGUGAAUACGUUCUCGGGCCUU